UACAGAGGGUGCGAGCGUUAAUCGGAAUUACUGGGCGUAAAGCGUGCGUAGACGGUUAUUUAAGUCAGAUGUGAAAGCCCCGGGCUCAACCUGGGAAUUGCAUUUGAGACUGAAUAGCUAGGGUGCGGUAGAGGGAAGCGGAAUUUCCGGUGUAACGGUGAAAUGCGUAGAUAUCGGAAGGAACAUCAGUGGCGAAAGCGGCUUCCUGGACCAGCACCGACGUUCAGGCACGAAAGCGUGGGGAGCAAACAGG
rnacentral:rRNA from 1 species